UUUUUUUUAAAUGACAAUACUGUGUGAUCUCUAAUGACCAAGCUGCUUGUCAUUAUGCUCUUGGACUCUAUUUCAUGAGUCUUCAGCGAUAAAAACAAUUGUAUUUAAUCUUAAACCGGUGGAUAUUCUGGCCUUCCCUUCCCAGAGGCAUUCAUUCAUUUGCUAUUCCUCCCCCUGUCAUGGUGCUGCAGCAGUACACAAUGAUCAGUCACUGCAAUGUACCACAUGCCAACUCCAAAAGGACUUGAGCCAGCAGCACUCAGAGUAAGUGAGUUUCUUAAUGUAGCACACAGCUGAUAAAAAGAGAAAGAUAAAUGAAGCCCAUAAUUCAUCCACUGUUUGCACUUUCUUGUAGUGAGACGUAUCACGUUGCUGAGUAAGAUUUUAAAUGUAACCCCCCCCUUACUAUUUGUUAUUAACCAGCCCUCUUCCCCCCAACCAGUUAUAUAAAAUGAAGUGAAAGCAACCUUUAAAAAUGAAGGCUAACCGAGCACUACAGUUAAAUGAGAUCACUUUCCUUUUAGGUUUGUUAUUUUCAAUCAAAUCUUAUAUAAUGAGAAUUGAAAUUAAAUUUAAAAAAUCUCCGGUGCAGGAAAAUAUAAAUGUAAAAUGCUGUUAAUGCUCUUUCACUACACAGUGGCUACCACCAUAGCUAUCAUUGGGUUUGCUAAAAAACUGAUUAGAUGAAGCAUUGUAUCCAGAGGGCCUAUGCACAUGUUAAUGGAUUCUUCUGCACUCUGUGGUUAACCAAUUAAAAUUCAUCUAACUACUGUGGAUUUGAAAGUCUGAUAGAAGCCCAGAAUUUAUUGAUUUCCUGUUUCAACCUAGGUUGUCUACCUUGAGACAGAUCAGAGGGAAAAGCUGAAUUACAGGUGACUUGGAAAACUGGUGAUGGGACAGCAAAGGCAAAUAAUUAAGAUGCAACUAUGCCUAGAGAAAGAUGGGUGGAGAAAAGGGUAAUAUGUUGAAAGAUAUUUCCAUUAGCUUCUACAAACUUAUUGAAAACAUUUGGCCUUAUUCUUCUGCUCUAACACAGAAUGCAGCCCUUGUGAGGGAAAGAAGACAGCCACUGAUCUGUUCUCUCUGAUAAGAGAUAUUUGGAAACCUUGUGUUAUUUAAUACAUCCAUGAACAGCGUGAGAGAUUUGCAUGACUUGAGAAUAAGUGCCCUUUCUCUGCCUAUGAUAUCAUCAGGUAGGAACUAACAUUAUACAUUGCCCAGUAAGCUGCAAGCAUCUGGGAAAUUUCAUGUAGCAGAUUAUUUUUCAUUUACACUUUCAUGUAUAUAGUACAAUAUUCUAGGUACUGAUUUAUGAAUACUGAGGCUUAAGUUGGGAGAGAUAUUUUAUAAGGUGAACAAAAUUUAAAAAAUGAAGGACAUUUCUACUUCUGUCCAUAGACAUGUUCUUUUAUGGAGUUAUUCUGUAAGAUUGUGUUGAAGUAUUUUGCAUAGCAGAACCUGAUAA